UCCAGGCUGUGGUGGGUUUGUUCUUUUGCCUUUCACAGUAAAUCUUGCUGCUGCUUUCUCUUUGGUCUGUACUACCUUUAUGAGCUGUAACACUCUGUGAAGGUCUGUGGCUUCAUUCCUUAAGUCGGUGAGACCACGAACCCACCGGGAGGAACAAAACAACUCCAGACUUGCCACUUUUAAGAGUUGUAACACUCACUGCGAAGGUCUGUGGCUUCACUCCUGAAGUCAAGUGAGACCACAAACCCACCGGAAGCGAGAAACUCUGGACACAUCUGAACAUCUGAAGGAAGAAACUCUAGACACGCCAUUUUUAAGAACUGUAACACUCACUGCAAGAGUUUGCGGCUUCAUUCUUGAAGUCAGCAAGCCCAAGAACCCACCGGAAGGAACCAAUUCUGGACACAGUAGAACUGGUUCCUCUUCCUUAUUCCACCUAAUCACACACCUAUGCAAUUUUUUGCUUCCUAAAUUUGCAACUUUGGAGUGGGUGGCUUUGCGAGUCCUAGUGUUUCAAGGAGAAACACUUCCACUAAAGGACCCAGUUAUGGUUUCAAGUGGAAGGAGAGGCUGCCUCUUGGCCAUUUUGGGCAAGUCAUGAUGCUAAACCAUCAGGCAGAGAAGGAGGUACCUUUACUAAGCUAGUAAAGGUACCAAUUGAUCCAAUUAUUAGGAGAAAAAUAUGUUGUUGCUAUACAGUGCAAUCAAGGAGAAUUAGGAGUGGAACCGAGACUAUUCCGUCGGGAGGCUUUUUAUACUCUGUCCAGAAUAAUGGUCAAUGGAUAACUGCAGCAGUGCAAUAAAGACGAAGCAUUAAUGACUUGGAUCCUUUGGGUCACUCUACCAGAUAAAAAAUUCCAAGGAAACGAAGUGCUAGAGGAAGACGAUUUAGCACAGAAGUUGUUACACAUGAUUUUAGAGAGUUUCAUUUCUACUUCAAGAAAUUUAAGUAAGCAAAAUUGCCAAUCUUUUUGAAAUUCAUCCUCACAAAUGUGAACAAUUUUCAGAUAACACUUUUUCUAAAAAGAUACACAGCCUAAAUGUAAAUAACUAAAAAACAUCAAAUACGGUCAUCAAAGAUUAUUUUCGUUAAUAAUAUGAAUGAUAGAAUACCAAAAAAUUCUACAAGGGAGGCUGCCUAUCACAAAAAUGAUCUCUGGAUUUCCAUGGAAUCUAAUCUUUGCUGUUCUGACUCAUGUUAUUAUUGAUAUUUUUACAAUCACUUUCCAGUUCCAAGAGGAGACAAUAUUCUUUCUAAUGGCAUUUAACUAAAGCACUCUUAAUCUUCAUACCAACACUCAGUCUAUUUCCUGAGUUGUAUAAUUAUGCGGAAGUUCUCAGUAAUUGUUUUUGGACCUGAAAGGCAUGGUGUAAUGAUAGAGUGCCCCCAGGACUGAAGCACUGGUUCAUCCCAGCUGCUGUGAGUGUUGAUUGCUGACAGCUGGCAGCACUCCCUUGUAAGGAUUGCCUUCAGAGCAAGGAGCUGCCUCACCCAAAGUCACAACCCCUUCCUGGGUCAGCUCACAUCCAAUGACUGCUCUAUUAAAUCAGCAUUGUUUAUGCUGGAGGCCAUGAGCCUGUUUAUGCUGGAGGCCAUGAGCCUGAGGUUUUCUCCAUACUUUGAGUUCCUACCUAAUAAAUAGCAACCUAAGUCAGUAGGUAAACAAACCGAAAUGUAACUUAGUAGUAUACUUUUUGUAACAAAUAGCAAGGUUCCAGCCAAUCACAAACAGCCAAGCUUCAACCAAUCACAGGCAGCUAACUGAUCAUAUCCGUGCCCAAAUAAGGCAAAUGUCUUGCUGUAGCCAACCAGAUGAUUUCUCUACUUUGCUUCUGUGUUCAGCUUAUACAAGCUCACUGCUCUUCUGAUUCUGAGUGUUGCCCUACUCAUGAAUUGUUCUCUACUCAAAUAAACUGUG
rnacentral:lncRNA from 1 species